rnacentral:rRNA from 1 species
UACGUAGGGCGCAAGCGUUAUCCGGAAUUAUUGGGCGUAAAGAGCUCGUAGGCGGUUUGUCGCGUCUGCCGUGAAAGUCCGGGGCUCAACUCCGGAUCUGCGGUGGGUACGGGCAGACUAGAGUGAUGUAGGGGAGACUGGAAUUCCUGGUGUAGCGGUGAAAUGCGCAGAUAUCAGGAGGAACACCGGUGGCGAAGGCGGGUCUCUGGACAGUUCCUGACGCUGAGGCACGAAGGUCAGGGGAGCAAACGGGG